UCGGUUCAUCGAGUAAAGCUCCGGCGCUUCGGGAGAGGCCUGCGGCCCAUCAGCUAGUUGGUAGGGUAACGGCCUACCAAGGCAGAGACGGGUAGGGGGCGUGAGAGCGCGGACCCCCACACUGGCACUGAGAUACGGGCCAGACUCCUACGGGAGGCAGCAGUAAGGGAUAUUGCGCAAUGGACGAAAGUCAGACGCAGCGACGCCGCGUGGGCGAUGAAGGCCUUCGGGUUGUAAAGCCCUUUUAUGGGGGAAGAGAAAAAGGACGGUACCCCAGGAAUAAGUCCCGGCUAACUACGUGCCAGCAGCCGCGGUAAAACGUAGGGGACAAGCGUUAUCCGGAUUCACUGGGCGUAAAGAGCGUUGAGGCGGUUCCGUAAGUUGGGCGUGAAAGCUCCGGGCUUAACUCGGAGAUGUCGUUCAAUACUGCGGGGCUUGAGGACAGCAGAGGAAGGUGGAAUUCCCGGUGUAGUGGUGAAAUGCGUAGAUAUCGGGAGGAACACCCGUGGCGAAGGCGGCCUUCUGGGCUGUUCCUGACGCUGAAGGCGAAAGCUAGGGGAGCGAACGGGAUUAGAUACCCCGGUAGUCCUAGCUGUAAACGAUGGAUGCUGGGUGUGGGGGGUGUAAAUUCCCUCUGUGCCGAAGCAAACGCGUUAAGCAUCCCGCCUGGGGACUACGGCCGCAAGGCUAAAACUCAAACGAAUUGACGGGGGCCCGCACAAGCAGCGGAGCGUGUGGUUUAAUUCGAUGCUACACGAAGAACCUUACCUGGGUUUGACAUGCACGUGGUAGGGAACCGAAAGGGGACCGACCUUCGGGAGCGUGCACAGGUGCUGCAUGGCUGUCGUCAGCUCGUGCCGUGAGGUGUCGGGUUAAGUCCCGUAACGAGCGCAACCCUUGCCCUUAGUUACAAGUGUCUAAGGGGACUGCCCGGGACAACUGGGCGGCAGGUGGGGAUGACGUCAAGUCAGCAUGGCCUUUAUAUCCAGGGCUACACACACGCUACAAUGGCCGGUACGAUAGGUUGCGAAGUCGUGAGGCGGAGCCAAUCCUCAAAGCCGGUCUCAGUUCGAAUUGCAGUCUGCAACUCGACUGCAUGAAGCUGGAGUUGCU
rnacentral:rRNA from 1 species